rnacentral:rRNA from 1 species
UACGUAGGGGGCUAGCGUUGUCCGGAAUCAUUGGGCGUAAAGCGCGUGUAGGCGGUCCGGUAAGUCCGCUGUGAAAGUCGGGGGCUCAACCCUCGGAUGCCGGUGGAUACUGUCGGGCUUGAGUACGGAAGAGGCGAGUGGAAUUCCUGGUGUAGCGGUGAAAUGCGCAGAUAUCAGGAGGAACACCAAUUGCGAAGGCGGCUCACUGGCCCGGUACUGGCGCUGAGGUGCGAAAGCGUGGGGAGCAAACAGG